rnacentral:rRNA from 1 species
UACGAAGGGGGCUAGCGUUGUUCGGAUUUACUGGGCGUAAAGGGCGCGUAGGCGGCUUUUUAAGUCAGGGGUGAAAUCCCAAGGCUCAACCUUGGAACUGCCUUUGAUACUGGGGAUCUUGAGUCCGGGAGAGGUGAGUGGAACUGCGAGUGUAGAGGUGAAAUUCGUAGAUAUUCGCAAGAACACCAGUGGCGAAGGCGGCUCACUGGCCCGGAACUGACGCUGAGGCGCGAAAGCGUGGGGAGCAAACAGG